rnacentral:rRNA from 1 species
UACGGGGGGGGCAAGCGUUGUUCGGAAUUACUGGGCGUAAAGAGCGCGUAGGCGGUCUAGUAAGUGUGAAGUGAAAUCUCCAGGGCUCAACCCGGAAACUGCUUUACAUACUGCAAGACUGGAGUGAUGAAGAGGUUUGUGGAAUUCCUGGUGUAACGGUGAAAUGUGUUGAUAUCAGGAGGAACACCCAUGGCGAAGGCAGCAAACUGGUCAUCAACUGACGCUGAGGCGCGAAAGCGUGGGUAGCAAACAGG